UAACUGAGCGUUCAGUUACUUGACGUAGACCCGAAACCGGGCGACCUACCCAUGAGCAGGAUGAAGCGAAAGUAAAAUUUCGUGGAGGUCCGAACCCACGAGCGUUGAAAAGCUCGGGGAUGACUUGUGGGUAGCGGUGAAAUUCCAAUCGAGCCCGGAGAUAGCUGGUUCUCCCCGAAAUAGCUUUAGGGCUAGCCUCAAGGUGAGAGAUACGGAGGUAGAGCACUGAAUGUCCUAGGGGGUAUUGCACCUACCGAAGACUAUCAAACUCCGAAUGCCGUCAUCUUAUACUUGGGAGUCAGACUGUGGGUGAUAAGAUUCAUAGUCGAAAGGGCAACAGCCCAGAUCGUCAGCUAAGGUCCCUAAAUGUAAGUUAAGUGGUAAAGGAUGUGGGAUUGCACAGACAACCAGGAUGUUGGCUUAGAAGCAGCCACUCAUUCAAAGAGUGCGUAAUAGCUCACUGGUCGAGUGAUCCUGCGCCGAAGAGUUCCGGGGCUAAAACUUACUACCGAAGCUACGGCAUCAGUAAUGAUGGGUAGGGGAGCUUCCCAUACGGGUUGAAGCAUGACCGUAAGGACAUGUGGACAGUAUGGGAGCGAGAAU
rnacentral:rRNA from 1 species